AUUGAACGCUGGCGGAAUGCUUUACACAUGCAAGUCGAACGGUAGAGGGGGCAACCCCUCGAGAGUGGCGAACGGGUGAGUAAUAUAUCGGAACGUGCCCAGUCGUGGGGGAUAACGUAGCGAAAGUUACGCUAAUACCGCAUACGAUCUAAGGAUGAAAGCGGGGGAUCGCAAGACCUCGCGCGAUUGGAGCGGCCGAUAUCAGAUUAGGUAGUUGGUGGGGUAAAGGCUCACCAAGCCAACGAUCUGUAGCUGGUCUGAGAGGACGACCAGCCACACGGGAACUGAGACACGGUCCAGACUCCUACGGGAGGCAGCAGUGGGGAAUUUUGGACAAUGGACGCAAGUCUGAUCCAGCCAUUCCGCGUGCAGGAUGCAGGCCCUCGGGUUGUAAACUGCUUUUGUACGGAACGAAAAGGUCUCUCUUAAUACGGGGGACUCAUGACGGUACCGUAAGAAUAAGCACCGGCUAACUACGUGCCAGCAGCCGCAGUAC
rnacentral:rRNA from 1 species